GACGUAGGAUGCGAGCGUUGUCCGGAUUUAUUGGGCGUAAAGAGUUCGUAGGUGGUUCGUUAAGUCUGAUGUUAAAGACUGGGGCUCAACCCUGGGAGUGCAUUGGAUACUGGCGGACUUGAGUGUAGUAGAGGCAAGCGGAAUUCCCAGUGUAGCGGUGAAAUGCGUAGAUAUUGGGAAGAACACCGGUGGCGCAAGCGGCUUGCUGGGCUAUAACUGACACUGAGGAACGAAAGCUAGGGUAGCGAAUGGG
rnacentral:rRNA from 1 species